AAGUCGUAACAAGGUCUCCGUUGGUGAACCAGCGGAGGGAUCAUUACAGAGUUGCAAAACUCCCUAAACCAUUGUGAACGUUACCUUCAAACCGUUGCUUCGGCGGGCGGCCCGGGUCCGCCCGGUGCCCCCUGGCCCCCUAGCGGGGCGCCCGCCGGAGGAAACCCAACUCUUGAUUAUUAUGGCCUCUCUGAGUCUUCUGUACUGAAUAAGUCAAAACUUUCAACAACGGAUCUCUUGGUUCUG
rnacentral:misc_RNA from 2 species